CCUAGCUCGAGUGCGCCUCAGCUUACUUGAUUUGGGUGAUUGUUGGAGCUUUCAAGUUUGGGUGAUAGGCUUACUGGUCAAGGUACGCUGCGACAAGUGUCAUCAUGACCCUAGUUUUUGGGUCGUGACAUUCAAAGUGACCUAUAAAUGAAUGUAUUGCCAAGAUUAUGUAAUGCUAUGGAACUGAGGUCUCCAUGGACUGCAGACGGAUGUGCCAGCAUUUCAAAUCUGGAUUAUAACCUUGAACGGAGAAGCUUAUGAGAUAAAAGCUUUUCCAUAAUGUAAAAAUUAGCCAAUCAAGCCUAUGAGCCUGAUCUGUUUGUACCAGAUUUAUGUUAAAAGGAAUUCUUAAAUGGGGGCAAAGAGCCAACUUUUCUUGAGGUCUUCGAAGAGACGCAUAGGAAGAAAAAGAAGGACAGUACAAGACAAGAUUGAGCCAAAACGCAUGCUAAGGAUCAUAUAUUUUAAAAAAGCAUAGAAGAUUGGCAUCAAACCCAACCUACUUCAGAAGAUGGUACCAUGGUCCAACCAUCACUUGCAGAUAUAACUAACAUGUGGACAACUAUUAUUGGUGGUCCAAAGAAAGGUAGAACCUAUGGGUGUGGUGUUCUCGAAUCUUUGAGUAGUCCUUCGUUGUUUCCCAAUUCCUCUUCUACUUUGCAAA